UACAGCAGCAGGUCCCAAAGCAGGUGCCCCAGACCAGCAUCCCUGGGGACCUCGCUAGAAAUGCCCGUUCCCAGGCCCACCCCAGACCUGCUGAGUCAGCAACUCGGAGGCUGGGCCAAGCAAUCCGUGUUUGAACACACCCUCCCUGGGAUUCUGAUGCCAGCUCAAGCUUGAGAGCGCCUGGCAGAUCUCGCGCGGCUGCGGUUCUGUUCUCGCAUUUGCUCGUUUUAUUAUUUACGCACGUUCUGAUCCUUUCCCGCGCGGGCUGCUGAGGGGCUGGUCUUCAGUGGUGGUGUUUUCUGAUCGGAAUCAGCGACCCCCGGAGCCGGAUGGUUAGCGGAGCCCGAGAACAUGUGACCUCACGUGUCAAAAGGGACUCUGCAGAUGUGACUGUGUUAAGGAUCUUGAGAUGGGGAGGUGCACCAAGUGUAACCAAAAGGUCCUCAUAAAAUGGAGCAGGAGGGUCCAAAGAAAGGUGACCUAGCACGAGCAAGACGCGACCAAACAUUUCUGGUUUUGAAGAUGGACGAAGGCCUCCCGAGCAGAGAGAUGCAGUGGCUUCCAGAAGCUGGAAAAGGCCCAGGGCUCUGGGAGGACAAGGACUCUGUGGAACCCACAUCUCCCUCCCCAUCUAUGGCGCGUCGCAGGCACACGGAUACCUGUCGUUCUGGGUGUGAUGCCUCCUUCUGAUGGGCUUUGGGUCAAGCGUUGCAACAGGAAUACCCAGGAGUGAAGUACACGUCCCCCGUUGCAUCAUAUCCGGGGUCACACGGUGUCACCUGUCCCAUCGCUGGUCCUGGUAAUGCUGGUCCCUCGGUUAAGGUCAGGUCUGCCAGGUUCCUCCACAGUAACGGGACUGUUUUCCCUCUGUAACUAAUAAAUGUCUUCUGGGCACCUCGUGUCAGACCGUGUAGGUAUCUUGUAUCUCAUGAAGCGUUCACCUGCUUUUAUUUGGAUUUUAACAGAUUUUUUUUUUUUCCCCUGGAGCAAAACUUACCUACAGAAAAAUCCACAAAGUGC